AGCCACGCAGUGAGCACAAAGCGAACUAUUCUUUCGCCUUUUACUAAAGAAUACCGUGCGCGCGCUGCAAUCAGUGGCAUACGCCAAUUUUUGGAGGGAUUCUCUUCUAUAGAGGACC